rnacentral:rRNA from 1 species
GUCUAUGGCCAUGCCAACCUGAAGAAGCCCCAUGUCUGAUCUUGGAAACUAAGCAGGGUCGGGCCUGGUUAGUCCUUGGAUCAGAGACCACCUAGGAAGACCAGGUGCUACAGGAA